GCCUUCGUGGUGUAGUGGUCAGCACGCUCGACGCGUAUUCGAGAGGUCCGUAGUUCGAGUCCUGGCGUGGGCA
rnacentral:tRNA from 1 species